AACGAAAACACAAUUGAAAAAAAAACCCUUAAUUACAAAAAACUCUCAGAUCACUCUCAACUCUCAAGCUACCUCUCAAUCCAACACACUCCCCUCCUUCGCUCACUUCCACCCUCUCUGAAUCCCCUUCCUCCCUCUGCUCUUCCCUCCUCUCCAUUCCCUUCUCAUCGAUCGAUUCUCUUCCAAAAUCAAGAACUUCGGGUCUUGUUCUUACAAAAAGUCUAACCCUUUCAAGGCAUUUGUCGAUAAAGAAGAAUCGGCGCUGACAAAGCCCAAUCCUCCAUCACCGGCGCUGCUUUGGGCCUCUCCCUCUCUCUCACGAACACUCAAUCUCACUCAAGACACUCUCACAAGGCCGACUAACAG